rnacentral:rRNA from 1 species
AAUAACAGCCAUGCCACUCUGAACUUCCCCUAUCUCAUCUGACUCAGAAACUAUUCAGGUUUGGGCUUUGUUAGUAAUUGGAUGGGAGAAAUACUUUUUGAAGAGUAGUUACUU